rnacentral:rRNA from 1 species
UACAGAGGUCUCAAGCGUUGUUCGGAUUCAUUGGGCGUAAAGGGUGCGUAGGUGGCGGGGUAAGUCAGGUGUGAAAUCUCAGGGCUCAACCCCGAAACUGCACUUGAUACUGCCUUGCUCGAGUACUGGAGAGGAGAUUGGAAUUUACGGUGUAGCAGUGAAAUGCGUAGAUAUCGUAAGGAAGACCAGUGGCGAAGGCGAAUCUCUGGACAGUUACUGACACUGAGGCACGAAGGCCAGGGGAGCAAACGGG